AUUGAACGCUGGCGGCAUGCCUUACACAUGCAAGUCGAACGGCAGCACGGGUGCUUGCACCUGGUGGCGAGUGGCGAACGGGUGAGUAAUACAUCGGAACAUGUCCUGUAGUGGGGGAUAGCCCGGCGAAAGCCGGAUUAAUACCGCAUACGAUCCACGGAUGAAAGCGGGGGACCUUCGGGCCUCGCGCUAUAGGGUUGGCCGAUGGCUGAUUAGCUAGUUGGUGGGGUAAAGGCCUACCAAGGCGACGAUCAGUAGCUGGUCUGAGAGGACGACCAGCCACACUGGGACUGAGACACGGCCCAGACUCCUACGGGAGGCAGCAGUGGGGAAUUUUGGACAAUGGGCGAAAGCCUGAUCCAGCAAUGCCGCGUGUGUGAAGAAGGCCUCGGGUUGUAAAGCACUUUUGUCCGGAAAGAAAUCCUUGGCUCUAAUACAGUCGGGGGAUGACGGUACCGGAAGAAUAAGCACCGGCUAACUACGUG
rnacentral:rRNA from 1 species